GGCACCCUCAUCCCUACAUCAUCGGAUACGCCACUGUCGCCAUCAACCAAAAGCCAUAUACCACCGGCCGGUGGCCUGUUACCGCCGCCGCCGCCGCCAUCGGCCGACUAGGAUGGAACUUCUCUGCUGCAGGCCGCCCCCUCCACACAUAUCCAGAUGCACCGGUCAGAUUCGCCGUCAAGAUGAGAAGCACUUGCCUCUCGGGACAGUGCUGCUACCCUGCAGCCUCGAUGCGCCCAAGCCCCGGUGACCUCCACCACGACCAUCCUUUCCAGAAGCAGGGACGACGCCGGUUCUCGGACGACUUUUCCCCGUCCCUGCGAAAUUGCCCCUUUAAACAGUGGAGGUGCAUCGAUCCCAUCGUCUACGACAUGGGCUUGGUAUAUCCGGCAAUCUGUCUUUCAUUAUUGACCUCAAAAGCACAUGUGUAGUAUCAUAGUUAUAUUUACUGACGCAUACCACUAUGAUUAUUUAGCUGUUGUUGCAGAUCCAUUAUCUUUCUCCUGAAGUUCAGUAGUUAUUUAUCAAAGAUAGAGAGGAGAAAAUUUGAUGUCAUGCCACUCAGGUAUCAGUACUGUACCUAUAUUGUUUUGACUCGUUGAGUGUUGUGUAGCUUAAGUAUUAUGUGAGAUCAAAGGGAAUUAACUCCAGCAAAUUGAUACAAAGAUCAUUUGUGAGGGUUGUGUGUUUUAUUUUCUGUUAGUUGUUACAGGCAAUUGAUUUUCGCGGCUUGGCGUUGGUGGUCAUAGUCUAUGACAGGAACAUUGGAUCAGAAAAAGGUGCUAUCUAGAAAUGUCUCAUCGUUGCCAGUUGGAAUCACAAACCAUGCGAAUGUUACCAAUUGUGUCUUCGUUCAGAAAUUUAGUCCUUUACUAGCUAGCUUCAGUGGUUCUAAAUCUAAGUUUCAGGGAUUUACAAAAGAGCAACAUUCAGGGUCACAUAUAAAGGUCAGAUAGAUAGUGAUCUGUUCCAGUCCUUGGCCAUGGAGUUCAUUUGUAUGUGUAUUGUGCUCUUAAAAAAAUAUUUGAUGAUAUGUCCGACAUCACCUAAUAUUUUUGUGAACACUUGCUAGAUUAUAUGGUACAUUUGAGUUUAUGCAGUAUCUUAUAUUCUUCUGAUUUUGUAUUUGACAACAUAGUUAUUAAGAUCGCUGCCCCUAAAUGCAGCCUCUAGAAAGGUUAGACAUUUUCUAUUCAUUUCAGAAAGUAUUUUCUGAAGCCUAAUCUGAACCAUAAUUUCCUGCAAAAAACUAAUCCGAGCCAUAAAAUACUUCCAGGCAUCUCCAAACAAAGAGCUGAUUACCCAUCCAUCUUCAACAAUAAGUAUCCACAGGUUUGCCAGCAAGCAUAAAAUAGAAGUUAAAGGCUCUAUUUAAACAAGUCUGACCAAACUUUUGUUGUAGCCCAAUGAUCAAAACACUAGAUGAGUCAAACAAUACUAUACCGCCUCACCAACCCGCAACUAUGGACACGAAGAAAAAACAAAAUAAGUAAUAAUUUUGUAACUCUUUGUAUAGAGCGAUUAGUUCAGAUCAAUUGAACAUGAAUUCAAAUGAUGAUUUUUGUUAGCAGGUACUCUUUAGCUAAAUGAAGCACUGAAUAUGGAGAAGCUGAAACCACCAACAGAUAUUUCCUAUUCACCAUUUAAUUUCUCAUGAAUGCUAUAUUUAUAGGCCACAAUGGAAAAGAGGUAAAUCUUCCAGCAAGAGAACUUCAUCUCAGUUUGUCAGAUGGCAUAAACAACAAUGUGACAAUGAACAAGUAACAAGGUACAAAAAUAUAUAGCAUGGAUGACAUGGUCAAGCACGCAUGUGAGCAGCUGCAAACUACACGUCUACCUAAAAUUAGUUAUACCAUGGCUUAAAUCAAGAAUAAGUAAUCAUUACAUGUAUCAAGUACAAGUGUUAUCCAAAUUAACUCUCAUUAGUACUA